rnacentral:rRNA from 1 species
GACGAACGCUGGCGGCGUGCCUAAUACAUGCAAGUCGAACGCAGUGGGGACGGGUGAGUAACACGUGGGUCACCUCCCAUCAGAGGGGAUAACACUUGGAAACAGGUGCUAAACCGAUAUUGAUGGAUGGACCCGUGGUGCAUUAGCUAGUGGGGGAGGUAGAGGCUCACCAAGGCCACGAUGCGUAGCCGGCCUGAGAGGAGGAUCAGCCACACGGGGACUGGGACACGGCCCAGACUCCUACGGGAGGCAGCAGUGGGGAAUAUUGCACAAUGGGCGCAAGCCUGAUGCAGCCAUGCCGCGUGUAUGAAGAAGGCCCUAGGGUUGUAAAGUACUUUCAGUCGGGAGGCGUUACCGACAGAAGAAGCACCGGCUAACUCCGUGCCAGCAGCCGCGGUAAUUC